UUAAGCGACUAAGCGUACACGGUGGAUGCCCUGGCAGUCAGAGGCGAUGAAGGACGUGCUAAUCUGCGAAAAGCGUCGGUAAGGUGAUAUGAACCGUUAUAGCCGGCGAUGUCCGAAUGGGGAAACCCAGUGCAAUUCGUUGCACUAUCGUUAACUGAAUACAUAGGUUAACGAGGCGAACCGGGGGAACUGAAACAUCUAAGUACCCCGAGGAAAAGAAAUCAACCGAGAUUCCCCCAGUAGCGGCGAGCGAACGGGGAGCAGCCCAGAGUCUGAAUCAGCUUGUGUGUUAGUGGAACGGUCUGGAAAGUCCGACGGUACAGGGUGAUAGUCCCGUACACCAAAAUGCACAGGCUGUGAACUCGAAGAGUAGGGCGGGACACGUGGUAUCCUGUCUGAAUAUGGGGGGACCAUCCUCCAAGGCUAAAUACUCCUGACUGACCGAUAGUGAACCAGUACCGUGAGGGAAAGGCGAAAAGAACCCCGGCGAGGGGAGUGAAAAAGAACCUGAAACCGUGUACGUACAAGCAGUGGGAGCACCUUCGGGUGUGACUGCGUACCUUUUGUAUAAUGGGUCAGCGACUUAUAUUCUGUAGCAAGGUUAACCGUAUAGGGGAGCCGCAGGGAAACCGAGUCUUAACUGGGCGUUAAGUUGCAGGGUAUAGACCCGAAACCCGGUGAUCUAGCCAUGGGCAGGUUGAAGGUUGGGUAACACUAACUGGAGGACCGAACCGACUAAUGUUGAAAAAUUAGCGGAUGACUUGUGGCUGGGGGUGAAAGGCCAAUCAAACCGGGAGAUAGCUGGUUCUCCCCGAAAGCUAUUUAGGUAGCGCCUCGUGAACUCAUCUUCGGGGGUAGAGCACUGUUUCGGCUAGGGGGUCAUCCCGACUUACCAACCCGAUGCAAACUACGAAUACCGAAGAAUGUUAUCACGGGAGACACACGGCGGGUGCUAACGUCCGUCGUGAAGAGGGAAACAACCCAGACCGCCAGCUAAGGUCCCAAAGUCAUGGUUAAGUGGGAAACGAUGUGGGAAGGCACAGACAGCCAGGAUGUUGGCUUAGAAGCAGCCAUCAUUUAAAGAAAGCGUAAUAGCUCACUGGUCGAGUCGGCCUGCGCGGAAGAUGUAACGGGGCUAAACCAUGCACCGAAGCUGCGGCAGCGACACUAUGUGUUGUUGGGUAGGGGAGCGUUCUGUAAGCCUGCGAAGGUGACCUGUGAGGGUUGCUGGAGGUAUCAGAAGUGCGAAUGCUGACAUAAGUAACGAUAAAGCGGGUGAAAAGCCCGCUCGCCGGAAGACCAAGGGUUCCUGUCCAACGUUAAUCGGGGCAGGGUGAGUCGACCCCUAAGGCGAGGCCGAAAGGCGUAGUCGAUGGGAAACAGGUUAAUAUUCCUGUACUUGGUGUUACUGCGAAGGGGGGACGGAGAAGGCUAUGUUAGCCGGGCGACGGUUGUCCCGGUUUAAGCAUGUAGGCUGGUUGUCCAGGCAAAUCCGGAUAAUCAAGGCUGAGGUGUGAUGACGAGGCACUACGGUGCUGAAGUAACAAAUGCCCUGCUUCCAGGAAAAGCCUCUAAGCAUCAGGUAACAUCAAAUCGUACCCCAAACCGACACAGGUGGUCAGGUAGAGAAUACCAAGGCGCUUGAGAGAACUCGGGUGAAGGAACUAGGCAAAAUGGUGCCGUAACUUCGGGAGAAGGCACGCUGGUGUGUAGGUGAAGUCCCUGCGGAUGGAGCUGAGACCAGUCGAAGAUACCAGCUGGCUGCAACUGUUUAUUAAAAACACAGCACUGUGCAAACACGAAAGUGGACGUAUACGGUGUGACGCCUGCCCGGUGCCGGAAGGUUAAUUGAUGGGGUUAUCCGUAAGGAGAAGCUCUUGAUCGAAGCCCCGGUAAACGGCGGCCGUAACUAUAACGGUCCUAAGGUAGCGAAAUUCCUUGUCGGGUAAGUUCCGACCUGCACGAAUGGCGUAAUGAUGGCCAGGCUGUCUCCACCCGAGACUCAGUGAAAUUGAACUCGCUGUGAAGAUGCAGUGUACCCGCGGCAAGACGGAAAGACCCCGUGAACCUUUACUAUAGCUUGACACUGAACAUUGAGCCUUGAUGUGUAGGAUAGGUGGGAGGCUUUGAAGCGUGGACGCCAGUCUGCGUGGAGCCAACCUUGAAAUACCACCCUUUAAUGUUUGAUGUUCUAACGUUGGCCCCUUACCGGGGUUGCGGACAGUGUCUGGUGGGUAGUUUGACUGGGGCGGUCUCCUCCCAAAGCGUAACGGAGGAGCACGAAGGUUAGCUAAUCCUGGUCGGACAUCAGGAGGUUAGUGCAAUGGCAUAAGCUAGCUUGACUGCGAGCGUGACGGCGCGAGCAGGUGCGAAAGCAGGUCAUAGUGAUCCGGUGGUUCUGAAUGGAAGGGCCAUCGCUCAACGGAUAAAAGGUACUCCGGGGAUAACAGGCUGAUACCGCCCAAGAGUUCAUAUCGACGGCGGUGUUUGGCACCUCGAUGUCGGCUCAUCACAUCCUGGGGCUGAAGUAGGUCCCAAGGGUAUGGCUGUUCGCCAUUUAAAGUGGUACGCGAGCUGGGUUUAGAACGUCGUGAGACAGUUCGGUCCCUAUCUGCCGUGGGCGCUGGAGAAUUGAGGGGGGCUGCUCCUAGUACGAGAGGACCGGAGUGGACGCAUCACUGGUGUUCGGGUUGUCAUGCCAAUGGCACUGCCCGGUAGCUAAAUGCGGAAGAGAUAAGUGCUGAAAGCAUCUAAGCACGAAACUUGCCCCGAGAUGAGUUCUCCCUGAGACUUUAAGUCUCCUGAAGGAACGUUAAAGACGAUGACGUUGAUAGGCCGGGUGUGUAAGCGCAGCGAUGCGUUGAGCUAACCGGUACUAAUGAACCGUGAGGCUUAACCU
rnacentral:rRNA from 1 species